GUCCAAAAAAAACUGAGUUAGCUAUAUUAAAAGACAAGAUUUUGACUCUAUUUACAAAUGAAGAGAAUGUCUACUACAUUGCUCCAAAAGAAGAGGGAAGUAAUCAAUCUCUUGCUAGAGGAAAAACUUUUUGAUAGAACAAGAAAUCUGUGAAAGAAUGGAUGAGAAAGAAAAAUCUUAUUCCUAGAGUCAAAACAUCUAAACAGAAUACUUAUAAUGAAUCAUCUUCCACAAAAACAGCUGUUUUAAGAAACCCAC